GUUCUCCUGGCGCAGCGCCCCGAGGGCAAGCAGCUUGCCGGGCUGUGGGAAUUUCCAGGCGGCAAGGUCGAGCCCGGUGAGACGCCGGAGGAGUGCC
rnacentral:tRNA from 1 species